CAAACAGAACAUUGCAGUCACAGCACAUGAAACAGCUGAUCCUGUGACGUAACACUUUGAGGUUUUUGGGGCAUUCCUCUUAUUUCCAGUGUGUAGCUGUACCUGACGAAGAGUACAUUAGACUAUCUGAACAUGGCUUUAAAUCAAAAUCAUUCUCAAAACGGAGGAGUUUUGAUAAACAACGGCGAGAGUGUGUUGAGGGAAUCCAAGAAUGUGGAGCUGUCCUUCAGUGAUGUCACCAGCAAGACAGACCUGCUGAGGGGGACCAAGAAAGGGACUGUUUACCUCACUCCAUACAGGUUGGUGUUUGUGUCAAGUAAUGCCAAGGACAGCCUGGGGUCUGUGAUGUUCCCGUACUACCUGAUGAAGGGCUGCAGCAUUGAGCAGCCAGUCUUCGCCGCCAAUUACAUCAGGGGCACAGUGUCUGCUGAAGCUGGGGGAGGCUGGGAAGGCCAAGCUAGCUUCAAGAUGUCUUUUUCCAGUGGGGGAGCCAUCGAGUUAGGUCAGCACCUCUUCAAACUGGCAACAAAUGCAUCUCGUGCCCCUCCUGCUCAAAACGGAGGUGCCUCCUUUGGCUAUCCCUCUCCUGGAGUGAUGAAUGGCUACGGCCCACCACCUGUUCCUCAGAACUACCCGUAUGAAGCCCCACCCCAGCAGAAUGGUUUCUACCAGCCUCCCCCAGGCAACAUGGGCUAUCCCUACCCUAUGACAGCCGCAGGAAUGUACCCAUCUGCCCCUGCCUACAUGGCCCCACCUCCCCCCCUAUCCUGGGCCCCCCCCAAAACUGGGCUGCUCCCCCUGCAGGUAAUGCCAAGGCAGCAGAGGCAGCAGGCAGUGCCUAUUUCAACCCCAACAACCCCCACAAUGUCUACAUGCCCAUGGAACAGCCUCCUCCCUAUGCACCUUCAGCUCCUCCUGCCCCUUACCCAGGCUAUCCAGAGAAGAAGAACAACUAAAGCUCAAUAACCAUCAUCCCCUAAUAAAUGUAACAGCAAAUUUUUAAGGGGAUGAUAAUUAUUAGACUGGAAAGGAAAGUAUGAAGUACUACAUUGACAAAAAGGCAAUAUUAUUUUUCUGGCAAUUCACACAAAUAAUUUUGAGGCACAACAAUGUUGGGACAUUUUCAAAUGAUGAAUGUUUCCUUUUAAUCAUGAGUAAAGCUUUAUUUCACCCCCUCCCACUCAGUUUAUUUUAUUUUGUCAAUUGCCAAGUAAAUGGUUAUUCACUUAACAGAUAAGUAUUCAAUCUUUUCAGUUAUCAUGGUUGUCUCUCUCUCCCUCAAUCUGUUAGAAUGUGGAACUGUCCUGUACUUAGGGAAGGGUUUCUAACUGCCCCGUUGAGGAACAUGUGAUGGGCAGUAUGGGGAAUGUAUAGGCAUUAAAUAUUUACAGCAUUUUUUAAAUCUAGAGGUUUAUUACCAAAAUACAUUUUAUAACCAUUUUCAAUUAAAAUGUUGAUGCUUAUUAACAAAACGACAAUUUCUAUUCCUACUAGUAUUUUAAAGUAUUUUUACAUUCACGUUCACAGUAAGUGUUUCCAUUGUGUUGGUGCGUGGUUUAAGUUUGUUCCAGAGAGCCUUGAAUGAAAGCUGAAGUUCCCAGUGCUCUCAUUGCACACCAUACCUUUCUAGAUUAUUUCUGGCUUUUUAUUGAAGGAAGGAAAGAAGUGCAUGUUGUUUGAAUAUGGCAAUUGGAUGGAGCACUGACAUGUACCGCUACAUAUGUGAGAUUAUUGGUAAUGUGCAAUGUUCCUAGAUCUCACAAAUAACUUGUGUUGAGCCUAGAGAUGAUAACUGGUCACAUGAAUAACCCAUGUCCUAGUCGAACCUUGUAUAUUGUAUUGAUGAAUGCAAAGCCCGGCUGAAACCAAAACCCUACUCUGUGCAAUUACACAAGUGUUGGGUUACUAGGCCAUGUAUUUAUUUAGCCGCUAGCCCGCUACACAGUGCUUUCUUGCAGUUGUGACGAAUUAACCUGUGAAAACCACUAAUUUAUUCCUGAUUAAACUGAGUUGUAGUGACUAACAGACCAUAUAAUUGCUAUUUUCUCAGAGUGCAUAGAGAGGACAUUUUUGUACUAGUUUUAGGUUAGAGGUUUGGUUGGUUUUAAUUAUCUGCUUAAAUUAAUCAAAUGUCUGAAAUAUUUUGUUUGUAAACCAUACUCCUUAUUUUGAGUUCUUUAUAUUGAUUCAAAAUCUAAUAAAUAAAUGUUUAUGUAAAACUUA